UCUGUACCUGUUUCAAGACCUUUUAUUCAACACAACAUUUGACACUACAUUACUGUAGCAGCAUGAAUAUAUAUUCCAAAAGAAGAGAAGUCUGUAGUAAUUUCCCAAGAAUCUAGAAUACUCUGAGAAGAUUAUGAUUGCGAAGAAGCAACCCAGAGUGAAGUUGUCAAAUGAUGGUUGAUGUUGGUCAAUCAGAUCUGCGAGAGAAAAAAAGAUCUUCAAGGGAAGAAAAUGUUUAAGAGAAAAAAAAUCAAGUUUCCAGAUUGUACCACAACCAUUGUUUACAAAAGGAGCAACAAACUUCCAUGAUCAAAUGAUUUUCUUGUCUGUCCUGGCAAAUGCAUAAUGUGGUAGGAGUUAAAACUAAGAAUAUAGAAGGUUGAGACAAAGACACUGAGC
rnacentral:lncRNA from 1 species